CCUACGGGAGGCAGCAGUGAGGAAUAUUGGUCAAUGGGCUUACGCCUGAACCAGCCAAGUCGCGUGAGGGAAGACUGCCCUAUGGGUUGUAAACCUCUUUUGUCAGGGAGCAAUUGGCGCUACGUGUAGCGUUAUCGAGAGUACCUGAAGAAAAAGCAUCGGCUAACUCCGUGCCAGCAGCCGCGGUAAUACGGAGGACGCGACUGUUAUCCGGAUUUAUUGGGUUUAAAGGGUGCGUAGUCGGAAUGCAAAGUCAGCGGUAAAAUCGCGGGGUUCAACCUCGCUCUGCCGUUGAAACUGGCGGUCUUGAGUGGGCGAGAAGUAUGCGGAAUGCGUGGUGUAGCGGUGAAAUGCAUAGAUAUCACGCAGAACUCCGAUUGCGAAGGCAGCAUACCGGCGCCCAACUGACGCUGAAGCACGAAAGCGUGGGUAUCGAACAGGAUUAGAUACCCUAGUAGUC
rnacentral:rRNA from 1 species